CGACGUACUUUGGAUUGUGAGUGGACAAAUUUUAUUUUAUUACUUCAGAUCGGUCCAACCCAAUCUGAAAUUUUUAAUAGUUUUUUUAUAUUUUUUGUUAACAUGACAUGUCACAUUAGCACCGUUAACGAUUAAAUCAGUCAAUUUGAUGGUUUUCGUUAACGAAGUGACUUAGUUGAUUUUUUUGGUAAUUAUUAAUAGCU
rnacentral:lncRNA from 1 species